rnacentral:rRNA from 1 species
GUGUCAGCCGCCGCGGUAAUACAGAGGGUGCAAGCGUUAAUCGGAAUCACUGGGCUUAAAGCGUUCGUAGGCGGGCUUGCAGGCGCGUUGUGAAAGCCCCCGGCUCAACCGGGGAACUGCUUCGCGAACCGCAAGUCUUGAGUCAAGUAGGGGCGGUCGGAACGAUAGGUGGAGCGGUGAAAUGCGUAGAUAUCUAUCGGAACGCCAAAGGUGAAGACAGGCCGCUGGGCUUGUACUGACGCUGAGGAACGAAAGCGUGGGGAGCAAACGGGAUUAGAUACCCCAGUAGUCC